AUUGAACGCUGGCGGCAGGCCUAACAUAUGCAAGUCGAACGAGUGGCGGACGGGUGAGUAAUGUCUGGGAAACUGCCCGAUGGAGGGGGAUAACUACUGGAAACGGUAGCUAAUACCGCAUACCAUCGGAUGUGCCCAGAUGGGAUUAGCUGGUAGGUGGGGUAACGGCUCACCUAGGCGACGAUCCCUAGCUGGUCUGAGAGGAUGACCAGCCACACUGGAACUGAGACACGGUGCAGACUCCGAAGGGAGGCUGCAGUGGGGAAUAUUGCACAAUGGGAGCAAGCCUGAUGCAGCCAUGCCGCGUGUAUGAAGAAGGCCUGCGGGUUGUAAAGUACUUUCAGCGAGGAGGCGUUACUCGCAGAAGAAGCACCGGCGAACUCCGUGCCAUCAGCCGCGGUAAUUC
rnacentral:rRNA from 1 species